rnacentral:tRNA from 1 species
GCCCCGAUGGUGUAGUCCGGCCAAUCAUGAAGCCCUUUCGAGGUACGCGAGAUCACACGGUUUCGUGCCUUUCCAAGGAAAGGCUUCGACGUGGGUUCGAAUCCCGCUCGGGGCA